CGACAGGGCGGGGUUCUAUACAUGCAGUCGAACGAACUCUGGUAUUGAUUGGUGCUUGCAUCAUGAUUUACAUUUGAGUGAGUGGCGAACUGGUGAGUAACACGUGGGAAACCUGCCCAGAAGCGGGGGAUAACACCUGGAAACAGAUGCUAAUACCGCAUAACAACUUGGACCGCAUGGUCCGAGCUUGAAAGAUGGCUUCGGCUAUCACUUUUGGAUGGUCCCGCGGCGUAUUAGCUAGAUGGUGGGGUAACGGCUCACCAUGGCAAUGAUACGUAGCCGACCUGAGAGGGUAAUCGGCCACAUUGGGACUGAGACACGGCCCAAACUCCUACGGGAGGCAGCAGUAGGGAAUCUUCCACAAUGGACGAAAGUCUGAUGGAGCAACGCCGCGUGAGUGAAGAAGGGUUUCGGCUCGUAAAACUCUGUUGUUAAAGAAGAACAUAUCUGAGAGUAACUGUUCAGGUAUUGACGGUAUUUAACCAGAAAGCCACGGCUAACUACGUGCCAGCAGCCGCGGUAAUACGUAGGUGGCAAGCGUUGUCCGGAUUUAUUGGGCGUAAAGCGAGCGCAGGCGGUUUUUUAAGUCUGAUGUGAAAGCCUUCGGCUCAACCGAAGAAGUGCAUCGGAAACUGGGAAACUUGAGUGCAGAAGAGGACAGUGGAACUCCAUGUGUAGCGGUGAAAUGCGUAGAUAUAUGGAAGAACACCAGUGGCGAAGGCGGGCUGUCUGAUCUGUAACUGACGCUGAGGCUCGAAAGUAUGGGUAGCAACAGGAUUAACAUACCCUGGUAUUCCAUACCGUAAAACGAUGGAAAGCUAAAUGUUGAAA
rnacentral:rRNA from 2 species